GGGCUAUUAGCUCAGUUGGUUAGAGCACACCCCUGAUAAGGGUGAGGUCUUCGGUUCAAGUCCGAAAUAGCCCA
rnacentral:tRNA from 1 species